UUCAUCUGUAAUUUCAACCAAGAAAGCCAUAAAAUCAAACAAAUAAUAAAUAAACAUUGGCCUAUGCUAAGGAACGAUCCUAUGCUACAUUCCAUAUUACCAGAGAGACCGAAAUUAAUAUAUAGAGGAGCCCCCAAUCUAAAACAAAAACUAACACACAACCAUAUAAAAGAAAAUACAUCUACCCCCUUCUUCCAGAAAGAAGGUUUUUUCGGCUGUGGACAGUGUCUAGCCUGCAGAAACACAAAAAGUACAAAAAGGCACAUUACAGAAUUCUAUGACCCAAAAGGGGAAAAGAAAUAUAAA